rnacentral:rRNA from 1 species
AGUCACUGACAUUAGAUACCCCGGUAGUCCAGGGUGUAAACGCUGCAGACUAGGUGUUGGAAGUCCUUUGGGGGCAUUCAGUGCCGGAGAGAAGUUGUUAAGUCUGCUACUUGGGAGUACGUCCGCAAGGAUGAAACUUAAAGGAAUUGGCGGGGGAGCACCGCAACGGGAGGAGCGUGCGGUUUAAUUGGAUUCAACACCGUAAAACUCACCAGGGAAGACUGUUACAUGAAAGCCGAGAUGAAGACUCUGCUAGAUUUUCAG